AGAUUAAUUGCUCAUAAGUGCAUAGGCUUAUUUCUGAGCUCUCUAUUCUUUUCAGUUGAUCUAUGUGUCUGUUUUUAUGCUAGUAUCAUGCAGUUUUGAUUACUGUAGCUUUGUAAUAUAGUUUAAAAUCUGGGAGCAUGAUACCACCCAGCUUUGCUCUUCUUUCUUAUGACUGUUUUGGCUUUUUGGAGUCUUUUUUGUUUUCAUACACAUUCUAGAAUUUAUUCUCUUUUGGUGGAAAAUGCCAUUGGUAUUUUGAUAGGAAUUGCAUUGAAUCCUAACGUAGAUUACCUUGGGUAGUGUGGAAUUAAUAUUUUGACAGUAUAAUUUUUCCAAUCCAUGAUUAUGAUGUAUCUUUCUGUCUGAGUCAUCUUCAGUUUGUUUUAUCAGAGUCAUGUAGUUUUCUGAGUACAGGUUUUUUACUUCCUUAAUUAGAUUUAUUUCCAGGUACCUUAUUCUUUUCUAAUGCUAUUGCAAAUGAGAUUGCUUUCUUAAUUUCACUUGCUGAUAGUUUAGUUAGUAUUAUAGAAACACAAAAAAUUUCCCUAUAUAAAAUUUAUUAUUCUGAACUUUUAUGGACUUCAUUGAUGAGUUCCAGUGGUUUUUUCGUGGUAUCUUUAGGAUUUUCUAUUUAUAAUAUGUCAUCUACAAAUAGUGAUAGUUUUAUGUAUGUGUAUUUACAGUCGUUGUGUCUUCUUAGAUUUAUCCCUUUGUCAUUAUAUAAUGUACUUCUUUGUCUCUUCUUACAGUCUUUGUUUUAAACUCUAUUUCGUGUGAUAUAAAUAUUACUACCCUGGCUUUAUUUUUUGUUUCCCUUUGUAUGCUAUACCUUUUUCCAUCCCAUAGCUUUCAGUCUCUGUAUGUCUUGAGAUCUGAAAUUAGUCUCUUGUAAGCAGCAUAUGUAUGGCUUUUAUUUUUGUAUUCAUUCAGCUACUCUGUGUCUUUUGUUUGGAACACUUAGUACAUUUACAUUUAAAGUAAUUAUUGAUUGUUAUGUUCCUAUUGCCAUUUUGUUCGUUGUUUUGGGUUGUUUUUGUAGUUCUUUUUGUUUCUUUCUUCUUUUGCUCUCUUUCCUUGUGGUUUGGUGACAUCUUUGUGUUAUGUUUGGAAUCUUUUCUCUUUUUUUGUGUGUAUUAUAGAUUUUUGGCUUGUAGUUACCAUGUGGUUUAUAUACAGUAAUCUCUAUAUGUGAGUAUUUUAAGUGUCAAUCUCUUAAGUUCAAAUGCAUUUUAAUAACCUUCUAUAUAUACUCCCUUAGUCCCAUUUACUGUUUUAAUAUCACAUUUUACAUCUUUUUUAUAUAUCCCAUAACUACUUAUUCUGGAUAUAGAUGAUUUUACUACAUUUUGUCUUUUAACCUUCUUCCUAGCUUUAUCAGUGGAUGGUAUACUACCUUUACUGAAUAUUUUCCUUUACCAAUGAAAUUUUUUCUUUUGUAAUUUUCAUAUUUCUAGUUGUGGCCUUUUCUUUAACAUUUUUUGAAAAGCUGGUUUUGUGGCGUUGAACUGUUUUAGCUUUUGCUUGUCUGUAAAACUUUUGAUUUUCCCUUAAAAUGUGAAUGAUAGCUUUGCUGGGUAGAGUAGUCUCUGUUGUAGGGGGGUAUUUUUUUUUUUCUCCUUUACAUAUAUAAUGCCACUUCCUUCUGGCCUACACAGUUCCUCCUGAAAAGUCAGCUGGUAGUUUUAUGGGAGUUCCCUUGUGUAUAACUUGCUGCUUUUCUCUUGCUCCUUUUAAUAUUCUCUCUUUAUCUUUAAUUUUUGCCAUUUUAAUUACAAUAUGUCUUGGUAUGGUCUGCUUUUGGUUGGUCCUAUUUUGAACUGUGCUUCCUGGACCUGGCUAUCAGUUUCCUUUCCCAGGUUGGGGCAGUUUCCAGCUAUUAAUGUCUUCAAAUAUGCCCUCCCCCACCACUAUCCAAGAUCCCUGUGAUGUAGAUGUCAGUACGCUUGAUGUUAUCCAAGAGGUCUCUUGAACUGUCUUUAGUUCUUUUUAUUCCUUUUUUGUUUUUAGCUUCAGUGAUUUCCACUAUUCUGUCUUUAGCUUGUUGCUCCAUUCCUCUAGUUGAUUCCUUUUAAUGUGUUUAUUUCAGUUAUUGUAUUAAUCUCUGGUUGCUCUUCAUAUUUUCUAACUCUUUGUUAAACUUCUCAUUGUGUUUAUCCAUUCUUAUCCUGUGUUCUUUGAGGGUUUUUUUUUGUUUUUGUUUUUGUUUUUGUUUUUGUCUUUUUGCUGUUUCUAGGGCUGCUCCCGUGGCAUAUGGAGAUUCCCAGGCUAGGGGUCCAGUCGGAGCUGUAGCCACUGGCCUAAUGCCAGAGCCACAGCAACUCCAGAUCCGUGCCAUGUUACACCACAGCUCACGGCAACGCCAGAUCCUCAACCUGCUGAGCAAGGCCAGGGAUCGAACCCGCAACCUCAUGGUUCCUAGUCGGAUUUGUUAACCACUGCACCAUGACGGGAACUCCUGAGCAUUUUUUUUAUAAGCACUUUUUUAGUUAUGUUGUCUUUUAUUUUAUUUUAUUUUACUUUAUUUUUGUUUUUGCUUUCUAAGGCCACACCCACAGCAUAUGGAAGUUCCUAGGCUAGGGGUUGAAUUGGGACCUGCCAGCCUACGCUAGAGCCACAGCAACACCAGAUUUCAGCUGCAUCUGUGACCUACACCACAGCUCAUGGCAUUGCCGGAUCCUUAAUCUACUGAGCAAGGCCAGGGGUUGAACUUGCAACCUCAUGGUUCCUAGUUGGAUUCGUUUCCACUGAGCCACCAUGGGAACUCCCUCUUUGAGCAUUUUUAAGAUCAUUAUUUUGUACUUUUUAUUAGGUAGAUUUCUUAUCUCCACUUAGUUCUUCUUCUGGGGUUUUAUCUUAUUUCUUUGUUUGGAAUAUAAUUCUUCUGUUUCUCUCAUUUUGCCUCAUUUGGUGCUUUUAUUUCUAUGUAUUUGGUAGGUUUGCCAAUUUUGGAGUAGUGGCCUUAUGUAGGAAAUAUAUAAUGGAUCCCCAACAGCACACUCCCCUCUGGUCACCAGAGCUAUAAGCUCUAGGAAUGUCCUCUGUGUGUGCUGGGUUGGCCCUUCCAUUGUGGUGGGCUGACUGCUGUGGGCACAUUUGUAGGUGUGGCUGGUCCCAGUUUAAUUGGUUUCCAGGCCCUGCCUUUUAUGGACGCUACUGGCCACUGGUGGGUGAGACCUGGUCUUGACACAUUUGGCUGCAUGGUCGGAGGAGUUCUGGGUGGUGCUGACUUGCUGGUGGGUGAGCUGGGUCUUGACAUGGCUGGUUGUGGGGCUACAAUAUUCCUGGGGCUGAUGUCAGCCCACUGGUGAGUGGGGCUGGAGCCCAGGGGUUCCUGGGGCUUAUAUCUGCCCAAUAAUGGGUGAGGCUGAGUCCUGGGGCUAGUGUUGGCCUUAGUGGUAGGUGGAGCUGGGUCCUGGGAUCUUUGGCUGUGGAGUCCUAGGGUCCUGGACCUGGUGCUAGUCCACUGGUGGGUGGAGCUGUUUUCCAGUAGGUCAUAGUUUUUCUGUUUGUCUUUUGGAUGGUUGAAACUAUUAACUAGUGUUUUCUUCAAGAGCAGUUCGUAGGAACAGUUAUUCUUUGGGUUCUUGCAUAUUUAAUAAUAUUGACUUUCUUUUAAAAAAUACUGGACUAUAUGUUAGACUCAGUAUAAAUUUUUAAGUUAUAUUUUUUUUUCCUUGAAGACUCUAUACAUAUUGAUAUACUAUUUUUGGCAUUGACUCCCUUCUCCUCUUCAUUUUUAGGUAGCAUUGAGUUUGCUUAGAUUCUCAAAGAAUUCUCUUUGAAUACUUGAAGUAUAGCAGUUUUUUUCUUAGGAAAAUGUUUGCCCUUUCAGACUCUAUGACUUCUUGUUCAUUUUUGAUUUUCCUGUGUCUCAUUGGUGCCAAAUGAAAUCUGUGAAAGCUUCUUAUACUGCAAACAAGUGAUUCUUGGCUUUUCCCUUCUGGCCAUGCCAAAUACUUUAGAAGCAUAUCUCCCUUUCAUGAGACCUUUCAGCGUUGCUCUUUAACUUAAUUGCAUUCUCAUAUAUGUGGUUAGGGAUGUCUCCUGGUGUGUGGUUAUGGAUGGAGGUGUGGUUUGUGUUUCUGUUUCUUAUUCUUAGUUGUUUUGAGAUUUUUCAAGAGGAGAAAGGUUACCCUGCCUUCUUUUUUUUUUUUUUUUCCCCCUUUUUUAGGGCUGUACCUGUGGCUUAUGGAAGUUUGCAGGCUAGGGGUCUGAUUGGAAUUGUCAUAGCAAUGCCAGAUCCAAGCUGUACUGUGACCUACACCACUGCUUGCAGCCAUACCACAUUCAUAACCCACUGAGCAAGGUGAGGGAUUGAACCCAUAUCCUCACAGACACUAAGUUUGGUUCUUAAUCCACUGAGCCACAACAGGAGCUCACAACCCUGCCAUUUUCAAACCAGAAAUCGUAAGGGCUCUUGGUCCAGUUUUGUCAGAAUUAAGAUAAUUUUAAAAGUGCAAGGAAUAAAAUAUGUGCUAAUAUAGUUUUCUGAACACUGAAAACAGUUCAUUUACAGAGGUUCUUUUAGAUCAAUAUUUUUAAAUAAAAUCACAAUUUCGUAUUUGAGUUUGAUUAUAUCAAUUGAUAUUUCUGAAGACUUGUGCAUUACAGAGCCUUAAGAAUUAGACUAGAAAUUAAUGCCUCUAGUUAGGAAUUAAUGUGCUCAUUAAUUUUUUAGUUUAUUUAGAUGUUGAUUCCUUUUUCAGCUGAAUCUGGAAAUUGAACUUUUGUGCUUAAGUUGCUACCACUAGAAUUUAAGUCUUUUGACAGAGUAAAUAUUAGUUUUUGAAUAAUCUGGUAUUUUGAAUGGCAUCUUGUUUUUCAAGGGAAAUGUAAACUUAUUUUCCUCACUUAAUGAUUCUAUUAAAAGAGGUAUGUUUGGGAGUUCCUGUCAUGGCAUGGUGGAAAUGAAUCCGACUAGGAACCAUGAGGUUGUGGGUUUGAUCCCUGACCUUGCUCAGUGGGUUAAGGAUGCAGUGUUGCUGUGAGCUGUGGUGUAGGUCGCAGACAUGGCUUGGAUCUGGUUUUGCUGUGGCUGUGGCUUAGGCCAGCAUCAGUAGCUCCAAUCGGAGCUCUAGCCUGGGAACCUCCAUAUGCCAUGGGUGCAGCCAUUUCAAAAAAAAAAAAAAAAAA
rnacentral:lncRNA from 1 species